rnacentral:rRNA from 1 species
CCUACGGGAGGCAGCAGUGGGGAAUAUUGGGCAAUGGGCGCAAGCCUGACCCAGCAACGCCGCGUGAAGGAAGAAGGCUUUCGGGUUGUAAACUUCUUGUCUAAGGGACGAAGCAAGUGACGGUACCUGAGGAAUAAGCCACGGCGAACUAAGUGCCAGCAGCCGCGGUAAGACGUAGGUGGCAAGCGGUAUCCGGAUUUAAUGGGUGUAAAGGGCGUGGAGAGGGGAAAGCAAUUAAGAUGUGAAAACCACGGGCUCAACCUGUGGCCUUCAUUUGCAACUGUUUUUGUUGAGUACUGGAGCGGCAGACGGAAUUCCUAGUGUAGCGGUGAAAUGCGUAGAUAUUAGGAGGAACACCAGUGGCGAAGGCGGUCUGCUGGACAGCAACUGACGCUGAGGCGCGCAAGCGUGGGGAGCAAACAGGAUUAGAUACCCCAGUAGUC